rnacentral:rRNA from 3 species
UUAAAUUGAAGAGUUUGAUCAUGGCUCAGAUUGAACGCUGGCGGCAGGCCUAACACAUGCAAGUCGAACGGUAACAGGAAACAGCUUGCUGUUUCGCUGACGAGUGGCGGACGGGUGAGUAAUGUCUGGGAAACUGCCUGAUGGAGGGGGAUAACUACUGGAAACGGUAGCUAAUACCGCAUAACGUCGCA